CAAACGACUCUCGGCAACGGAUAUCUCGGCUCAUGCAUCGAUGAAGAACGUAGCGAAAUGCGAUACUUGGUGUGAAUUGCAGAAUCCCGUGAACCAUCGAGUCUUUGAACGCAAGUUGCGCCCGAAGCCAUCCGGCCGAGGGCACGUCUGCCUGGGCGUCACGC
rnacentral:rRNA from 4 species